rnacentral:rRNA from 1 species
AUUGAACGCUGGCGGCAUGCUUUACACAUGCAAGUCGAACGGUAACAGGCCGCAAGGUGCUGACGAGUGGCGAACGGGUGAGUAAUGCAUCGGAACGUGCCCAGUCGUGGGGGAUGACUACUCGAAAGAGUAGCUAAUACCGCAUACGAUCUAUGGAUGAAAGCGGGGGACCGUAAGGCCUCGCGCGAUUGGAGCGGCCGAUGUCAGAUUAGGUAGUUGGUGGGGUAAAGGCUCACCAAGCCAACGAUCUGUAGCUGGUCUGAGAGGACGACCAGCCACACUGGGACUGAGACACGGCCCAGACUCCUACGGGAGGCAGCAGUGGGGAAUUUUGGACAAUGGGCGCAAGCCUGAUCCAGCAAUGCCGCGUGCAGGAAGAAGGCCUUCGGGUUGUAAACUGCUUUUGUACGGAACGAAACGGCUCUGGUUAAUACCCGGGGCUAAUGACGGUACCGUAAGAAUAAGCACCGGCUAACUACGUG